ACUAUCCUUUUCUUGGGGUUACACUACUGUCCAAAGAGCAUGUAGUGAGGGCAGUACUGCCAAUGUCUACACAACACACCUGCAUCAACUAGAGCUUUGCUUUAGCUUGGUGCAAUUUUUGGAAAA
ensembl:snRNA